GCCGGAGUGGCGAAACUGGUAGACGCAAGGGACUUAAAAUCCCUCGGAACGCAGUUCCGUCCGGGUUCGAUUCCCGGCUCCGGCACCA
rnacentral:tRNA from 1 species